CGUCACCACCACGCUAAAUCUUUCCCACUGUGUUAUAAACAUGGCGAAGCAGUUAACAAAACCUGCACCAAAAUUUGGGUCCUUUCUGAACCUCUUCCCGGAGGCAGGCUGCUUCUGGAAAAAGAGCAAUGAACCCUUCUUCCAGAACACCAGGCAAGAAUACAAAGGCCUGGAGACCUUUUAUUCAGUGUACACCUAAAUAAGUUGUACGGCUUCCUGGACAUCCUUCAGAAGCAGCCAAAUCUCUACAAGAGUCUCUCUGUCCCUGGGGAAGAUUUCACCGGAUGCUGACUAUGUUGUCGGCCUCAUCGCUCCUGAAAUGAGCAGGAGAGGAACCUUCAGGACUGCCAUGAAAUGAGCAGGAGAGGAACCUUCAGGACUGCCAUGAAAUGAGCAGGAGAGGAACCUUCAGGACUGCCAUGAAAUGAGCAGGAGAGGAACCUUCAGGACUGCCAUGAAAUGAGCAGGAGAGGAACCUUCAGGACUGCCAUGAAAUGAGCAGGAGAGGAACCUUCAGGACUGCCAUGAAAUGAGCAGGAGAGGAACCUUCAGGACUGCCAUGAAAUGAGCAGGAGAGGAACCUUCAGGACUGCCAUAGUCAGAAACUUUAAGGACUUUGUGGAAAGGAGGAAUGGAGGUAAAGGCAGUGCACAGUGAACUUGGAAGAGAGGAAGAAGAUGGACAAGUGGAGCUAUCCAGUCGAACAGUUUUCACUGUCCCUAAAGUUAUGCUAUGGGUCAGGGUCAAGUAUUUAUACAAAUAAUUUUUAAAUGUAGGCCUUAGACACUCACUGUAAAUAAGACAAAUAAAACCCAAUAUUUUACCCUUUUGACCUCCAUACAGCAAAGUGGCACAUCCCUAAUUAUGCUGAGCUGCAGGUCACCAGUCUAUGGUCCAUGAAGUGUCUGUCAUGGUGCAGCAUGGUGCAUUGUCCAGAAAAUGUUAGAAUUUUCAAACUAGUUUUCAUUGGGACGGCAGAUAAAGCAGUCGCUUACAUGUGAACACAGAAUCCUACUCAUUACUCCACCUGCCUAAUCACUUGUUUUUGUUACAUAUUGUAUCACAUGACAUUCUGUUGAUUUGUAUCUAUUUGAAUGUUUAUUUUCUGUCAAAAGGAUUACCUUUUCCCAUAGUUAAAGAAUUUACUUAAUGACUGCAGCUCUUUGUAUUCAAACACUUCCAUUUUAGUAAUUUAAAUAAAUGUUGUCCAUAGUGUGGUGGUAGAAUGUGGUGAGCUGGUCUGUAGCCUAUUCUGUGACUGUGAUUUGCCUCUCAGACUCCUGGUAUGUCUGCACCCUAACACAAUGCAAUUGUGUUCUGGAACUGUUGCUUGUAUAAAUAACUUGUGUAGCAAUAGGAUUGUAUUCUCAUUAUAUAAGGGACAUGUAACCAUUUACUCUUUGAGUUCUUCCCAGUGAAAUCAGAGAUAUCCCCUGCAGCUCCUUGAUUAAAGAUUUUUCUAUUAUACA